GGGGCUGUAGCUCAGCUGGGAGAGCGCCGGCUUUGCAAGCCGGAAGUCGUCGGUUCGAUCCCGAUCAGCUCCACCA
rnacentral:tRNA from 1 species